UUCGCAAUGCCCGAAAGGGUGACGAUGCGACGCCGCGUGAGCGAAGAAGGCCCUAGGGUUGUAAAGCUCUGUCGAGGGUUAUGAAAUAUAGAUGGGUUAAUACCCCAUUUAUUUGACAAAAGCCCAAAAGGAAGCCACGGCUAACUCUGUGCCAGCAGCCGCGGUAAUACAGAGGUGGCGAGCGCUGUUCGGUAUUAUUGGGCGUAAAGAGCACGUAGGUGGUUUUGUAAGUCAGGUGUGAAAGCCUUCUGUUCAAAGGAAGAACGGCAUCUGAAACUGCAGAUCUUGAGUGUAGGAGGGGAGAGUGGAACUUCUGGUGGAGCGGUGAAAUGCGUAGAUAUCAGAAGGAACGUCGGCGGCGAAAGCGACUCUCUGGCCUAUUACUGACACUCAGUGUGCGAAAGCUAGGGGAGCAAACGGGAUUAGAUACCCCGGUAGUCCUAGCCGUAAACGAUGGGCACUAAGUAGAGGGGUUUU
rnacentral:rRNA from 1 species